rnacentral:rRNA from 1 species
AAUCAACGCUGGCGGCGUGCCUAACACAUGCAAGUCGAACGCGAAAGGGGCUUCGGCCCUGAGUAGAGUGGCAGACGGGUGAGUAACGCGUGGGUGACCUACCCUCGAGCGGGGGAUAACGUUCCGAAAGGGACGCUAAUACCGCAUGACAUCCUGUCCUUGGACGGACGGAGAUCAAAGCUGGGGAUCGCAAGACCUGGCACUUGAGGAGGGGCCCGCGUCCGAUUAGCUAGUUGGUGAGGUAAUGGCUCACCAAGGCGACGAUCGGUAGCUGGUCUGAGAGGAUGAUCAGCCACACUGGAACUGGAACACGGUCCAGACUCCUACGGGAGGCAG